rnacentral:lncRNA from 1 species
AGCCAAGAACUGAACCAAAAUACAAAAAACAUAAACUACCACUUGAUGAGAAUAACUUCAAAGUCAAAUUGCAAAAGGUGACUAAAAAAGGGGAAUACUUUCAGCCAUUUUCAAAAUAACCUGUGAUAUGUACUGGAAAACUUCUAAUAAUCCUUGUCAUUUUACAAGAAAGUAUUUUAUCAUAAGAAUUCGUAGAAGUAGAAUCUGUUUGUCUUCAGUUAAACAAAAGAAGAACCUCAUUGCUUUCCAACUGGGCCCCAGCCAUUUUCCAGUUGAAACAUCAAACAUUUUAUUUGGUUCUUUCACUGCCAAUUAAAGGACAACAGAAAUGGUACAGGCUCCCUCUGCAGUGGGAUUACCCUUAUGUCUUCUCUGUCUAUGCUGAUCCACCUAAUCUUGAACUGGUGCUGUUCCAUGGGGAAAACUGGAACACGGGGCAAUUAGCACUUUCUUCACUUUAUCCCAUCAACAGGAAAUUGAAAUAUAACCAACUAACUCAGGAAACAUGGAAGAUGUCACACAGUGAAUGAUGAUUAAGCAGAAUUUUUAAAAUGUGUAGGAUUAUGAGAAGUGGGGUCAUUUUUCUUUGUGUAUGGUAUUGCUGAUGCAGUUUAAUACUCCAUUACUUCUAAAUUUUCACCAUAAGCUAGAUUUUCCAGUUGUGGUUUCUAUAAAGAAAAACAAACAUUCUGAAGACAGUUUUUCCAGAUUUAUUCUAGAUAUCGAUGAUUAACUUUCGAAUCUCCUCUGUUGAUUUGAACAUCCACUGAAACU